rnacentral:rRNA from 1 species
AGUGAACGCUGGCGGUAGGCCUAACACAUGCAAGUCGAACGGCAGCACAGUAAGAGCUUGCUCUUACGGGUGGCGAGUGGCGGACGGGUGAGGAAUACACCGGAAUCUACUUUUUCGUGGGGGAUAACGUAGGGAAACUUACGCUAAUACCGCAUACGACCUACGGGUGAAAGCAGGGGAUCUUCGGACCUUGCGCGAUUGAAUGAGCCGAUGUCGGAUUAGCUAGUUGGCGGGGUAAAGGCCCACGAAGGCGACGAUCGGUAGAUGAUCUCAGAGGAUGAUCAGCCACACUGGAACUGAGACACGGUCCAGACUCCUACGGGAGGCAGCAGUGGGGAAUAUUGGACAAUGGGCGCAAGCCUGAUCCGGCCAUACCGCGUGGGUGAAGAAGGCCUUCGGGUUGUAAAGCCCUUUUGUUGGGAAAGAAAAGCAGCAGGUUAAUACCCCGCUGUUCUGACGGUACCCAAAGAAUAAGCACCGGCUAACUUCGUG